CCUACGGGAGGCUGCAGUGAGGAAUAUUGGUCAAUGGACGCAAGUCUGAACCAGCCAUGCCGCGUGCAGGAAGACGGCUCUAUGAGUUGUAAACUGCUUUUGUACGAGGGUAAACGCAGAUACGCGUAUCUGUCUGAAAGUAUCGUACGAAUAAGGAUCGGCUAACUCCGUGCCAGCAGCCGCGGUAAUACGGAGGAUCCAAGCGUUAUCCGGAUUUAUUGGGUUUAAAGGGUGCGUAGGCGGUCGGAUAAGUUAGAGGUGAAAUCCCGAGGCUGAAAUUCGGAAUUGCAGCUGAUACUGUACGGCUAGAGAGUAGUUGCGGGAGGCGGAAUGUAUGGUGUAGCGGUGAAAUGCAUAGAGAUCAUACAGAAACCCGAGUGCGAAGGCAGCUUACCGAGCUACUUCUGACGCUGAGGCACGAAAGCGUGGGGAGCAAACAGGAUUAGAUACCCUAGUAGUC
rnacentral:rRNA from 1 species